GACGAACGCUGGCGGCGUGCUUAACACAUGCAAGUCGAGCGGAGCGGCGAACGGGUGAGUAACGCGUGAGUAACUUCCCCCCUCUCUGGGAUAACAGUUGGAAACGGCUGCUAAUACCGGAUAGUGGGGGGGGACUCGCGUCCUAUCAGCUUGUUGGUGGGGUAGUGGCCUACCAAGGCGACGAAGGGUAGGCGGCCUGAGAGGGCGACCGGCCAAAUUGGGAUGAGAUACUGCCCAAACUCCUACGGGAUGCAGUAGUGGGGAAUAUUGAACAAUGGGGGAAACCCUGAUGCAGCAACGCGCGUGCGGGAUGACGGCCUUCGGUUUGUAAACCGCUUUCAGCCAUGAAGCGGUAGUGGCAGAAGAAGCACCGGCUAACUACGUGCCAGCAGCCGCGGUAAUAC
rnacentral:rRNA from 1 species